AGUAAAGUGGUGUUUAGGCACAAAAAAAUUUGGCUUUUUAGGUAGUUUAUCAUUAAGCUCUUUACUU
rnacentral:tRNA from 1 species